GACGAACGCUGGCGGCGUGCUUAACACAUGCAAGUCGAACGGAAAGGCCCUGCUUUUGUGGGGUGCUCGAGUGGCGAACGGGUGAGUAACACGUGAGUAACCUGCCCUUGACUUUGGGAUAACUUCAGGAAACUGGGGCUAUAACCGGGUAGAAGCUCUUGCUCCGUGUGGGGGGUUGGAAAGUUUCGGCGGUGGGGGAUGGACUCGCUGCUUACGAGCUGGUUGGUGGGGUAGUGGCUUACAAGGCCUUUGACGGGUAGCCGGCCUGAGAGGGUGACCGGCCACAUUGGGACUGAGAUACGGCCCAGACUCCUACGGGAGGCAGCAGUGGGGAAUAUUGCACAAUGGGCGGAAGCCUGAUGCAGCAACGCCGCGUGCGGGAUGACGGCCUUCGGGUUGUAAACCGCUUUCGCCUGUGACGAAGCGUGAGUGACGGUAAUGGGUAAAGAAGCACCGGCUAACUACGUG
rnacentral:rRNA from 1 species